CAUUGAACUUACUCUUAUCUAGAAAGGACCUGGGUUUUCAAUCUAACUGCCUCCACGUCCUUCCUAGCUAGGAUUAAAAGUCUGUGUAAGCCUGACCAACAAAUGCUGAGCGUCGCU
rnacentral:misc_RNA from 1 species